rnacentral:lncRNA from 1 species
AGGUCUGCCCGAGGCCUGAGAGCCUGAAUUUGGGAGAGGACAUCACAUAUGCUUCUCUUGCCUUAUCUGUGUCAGAAACACCCUCUGGUAUUCAAGAUGGUGAUGGGCACCCUGCCAUGUAAGUUUUCAACCUAUUUGGCCAGCCGGAAGGUCACCUGAUGCUCUUUCUCAGCCUCAGCAGACACAUGGGCAAGUCCAACCUUUUGCUUCCACAUCAGGACAUCUUUGGCUACAAAGUUUAUACUCAAGAACUAUGCAAUUGAUUAACAAGAAAAAGUUACAAAAAAUCAUCUCAAUAUUCUAAGGAAUUUUGGAUGUUGCCUUGGACUGGGGAUUGGACUUGUGUAUCUUAUUGCAAAACUCAUCUCCUUCCCAGGACACCACAUUUUAUUGAGUAAAUAAAGUCCCUGGUGUGUGUUUGGGGUACUCAUUGCAGAGGCUUUGAGGCCUCAACAGAACCUCCAUUUCUUACCCACACUGCAUAAGUAUUUCUGAAGCUGGAAGCUGAGCACAGCAGACUUGGCCUGUGAAGUCUUUCUCCCUAGGGUUGGUCUUCUGGGACUGUGUGGAGGAGUGUCU